UCAUAUUAUAAAUAAGAUUAUUCUGUAAUUCAAUAAAUUAAAAGAUAACUGUCCGUGGUCUUUCUUUGAUCAGGACAAAAAAAAAAUUCAAUUACUUGCAAUUUCCCUUUUUAUUUCUCGUUUUUAUGUGCAAGUGUUUGGUUUGGGAUUAUCCACUAACCCAAAGAGUGAAGAGGCAGCAUAGGAGAAGGGAAGGGAACAAAUCAAAUAAAAGGGAUGUCUUAUUCUGUUCACGUGGCGCACUUUAGGGGGCUCAACAUUCAACUCAAUCCAGUGCCAAUAAUGCUGGAUUUGUGCAGUACUUUUAAUCAGUAGUAUUACCCCACCACCACCACCAGCACAAUUUCUUUUCUUUUUUUUCAGCCCAAGUUUUUUUUCUUCUUCUUUUUUUUUUUUCUGCUUGCAAAGCCUGGGUUCUCUCUUCUCUUUAUUAUGAUAUAUAUAUAUGCAACAAAAUGACAAGUAUAUCCAAUCAAUGAAUUAUGAGAUUGGGUUGUCACUGUGACACAUUUAAUUCUAUAUGUUAGGUAAACGGGCAUAUCUGCUGCUGCUUCUGCCAUUUUUUCUCUUCCUU
rnacentral:lncRNA from 1 species